rnacentral:rRNA from 1 species
GAGUUUGAUCAUGGCUCAGAAUGUACGCUGGCGGCACGCCUAACACAUGCAAGUCGAGCGAGGUACUUGUACCUAGCGGCAGACGGGUGCGUAACAUGUGGGAAUCUGCCUUUUGGUUCGGAACAACAUGGGGAAACCUGUGCUAAUACCGGAUAAGUCCUUACGGAGAAAGAUUUAUCGCCGAAAGAUGAGCCCGCACUAGAUUAGCUUGUUGGUAAGGUAAAAGCUUACCAAGGCAACGAUCUAUAGCUGAUUUGAGAGGAUGAUCAGCCACACUGGGACUGAGACACGGCCCAGACUCCUACGGGAGGCAGCAGUGGGGAAUCUUGCACAAUGGAGGAAACUCUGAUGCAGCGAUGCCGCGUGAGUGAAGAAGGCCUUUGGGUUGUAAAGCUCUUUUGUCGGGAAAGAUAAUGACUGUACCCGAAGAAUAAGGUCCGGCUAACUUCGUGCCAGCAGCCGCGGUAAUACGAAGGGACCUAGCGUAAUUCGGAAUUACUGGGCGUAAAGCGCGCGUAGGCGGUUAAGUAAGUUAAUUGUGAAAGCCCAAAGCUCAACUUUGGAAUUGCAAUUAAAACUACUUAGCUAGAGUUUAUCAGAGGAAAGCGGAAUACAUAGUGUAGAGGUGAAAUUCGUAGAUAUUAUGUAGAACACCAGUUGCGAAGGCGGCUUUCUGGGAUAAUACUGACGCUGAGGUGCGAAAGUAUGGGUAGCGAAGAGGAUUAGAUACCCUCGUAGUCCAUACCGUAAACAAUGAUUGUUAGAUGUUGGAAAUUUAUUUUCAGUAUCACAGCUAACGCGUUAAACAAUCCGCCUGGGGAGU